AUGUCCUUGCUUCGGCAACAUACACGCUAAAAUUGGAACGAUACAGAGAAGAUUAGCAUGGCCCUUGCGUAAGGAUGACAGGCAAAAUACCAGCAACAUGAGCAGAAAGCU
ensembl:snRNA U6 U6 spliceosomal RNA